rnacentral:rRNA from 1 species
GAUGAACGCUAGCUACAGGCUUAACACAUGCAAGUCGAGGGGUAACGAGAGGGAAGCUUGCUUUCCUUGUCGACGACCGGCGCACGGGUGAGUAACGCGUAUCCAACCUGCCCCCAACUAGGGAAUAACCUUGCGAAAGUAAGACUAAUACCCUAUAAUUUCCUCAGAUGUCAUCUGACGAGGAAUAAAGAUUUAUCGGUUGUGGAUGGGGAUGCGUCUGAUUAGCUUGUUGGCGGGGUAACGGCCCACCAAGGCAACGAUCAGUAGGGGUUAUGCGAGGAAGGUCGCCCACAAUGGAACUGGGACACGGUCCAACCUCCGACGCGAGGCAGCGGUGUGGAAUAGUUGUCAAUGGGCGGAAGCCUGAACCCGCCAAGGAGCGUGCAGGAUGACGGCCCUAUGGGUUGUAAACUGCUUUUAUACAGGAAGAAAAUUAGCCACGUGUGGUUAUUUGUAGGUACUGUAUGAAUAAGGACCGGCUAAUUCCGUGCCAGCCGCCGCCGUAA